UUGAAUAAUAAUGUAUAUAUUGACGGUAGGAUUAACAAUAUUAUAAUAACAAUUAAAAUGAAUAAUCAUUAAAAAAUAAGAUUCCUGACAGCAUGCUUCAUGAGGACAAGAGAAUUUUGAAGAUCAUCACAGAGUUGAUGGGGAUCGGCAAUUAUGUUGUCGUCCACUGAUAAGGUGAUUUUCAUCUUGUUCGCAUAACUUACAACAUGAAUUAUCAACGCAUUAGGUUGUCCAUAAACACCAAAUGCUAUGAAGGUCACAGGAUGGCCAAAGUAAGAUAUUUUUUCUUCUGGACCAGGUAAAUUUGAAAACCAUAGAGUGAUUCGACUUGGAAACUUCGACAUGAUCUUAUCAAUGAAAUAUUUUGGGGAAAAAAUGGCUACCAAAUAAUUCAAUUUAGCUUCAAGAGUAGCUUUCUUUCUGUCCCCAACAACUUUAGCGUUACGUACAUAAUCUAAUGGAUCAUCGUGUAAUGCAAUAGUGAAGGGAAGCAGAACACAAGCAAUCUGGUUGCCCCACCUGGCUUCACUGUCCCUUUUCAUCAUAUCAUCAAAAGCUUGGAUUCCUGCAGAUGGUCUUACGUUCACCAUAAGAGCUGCUCUAAGACGAAUGUUGUUGGGAAGAUUAUUGUUAUUCUCUUCUGCUCCUUUAUUAUCUUUCUUAUCAUCAUCAUACUUCCUGUUGAGAUAGGAAGAUAAACCAGCUUGUGUGAUUGCUACCAUCACAUCAUUAAUUGUCUGUAAAAACAAAAAUAGACAAGAGAAUAGGAAAUUUCUUAUCUUAACUCGGUCCAUCGUAACUCAAGAUAUAAAUAUACGAGAUUUAUUUAUUUAAUAGAUGAAUCCUAUUACCAUUUAUUUGUAUCUUAAAUUAACGAUAGACUAAGUUUAGACAAGAAAAAUAUUAAAAAAAUAAAGACUUUGCUGUGUUGCUAAAGUGGGUAAAGUUUUGUGUUUUACGACUUACUGUGCCCAUGACGUUCUUCAAAAACUUUACAUCAUUCAAACUGAUUGUUCUAUGAACAAACCUUCUUUGAGUAGCUUCGAGCGGCAAUGAACCUCUAAGAGGCGUUUUAGUAUCCUCCAAGAAGAAAAUUGUCCCCAGAAAUAUCAGUCCAUCAACAAUGGUAUUCCAACACAGCAACACCAACCACCAUAGCUUGAGCAAAAAUUCCCAAAAGCCUCCAGAGUUACUGGGAUUCCUUCUCUUUAUAGUUGGGAUGGUUGGACAUGCCUCAGGAUCAGAUACUUUGCGAGUGCAAGAAAGUAUAAGAGACAUGAGGGAGAUACCAUCGCCAAGUGAAUGGUGGAUGCGAAAAAGGCCAGUAGAUUCAGCUUCAGAGGUUUUAACGUUGAGAAGGUGAACGUCCCACAAAGGUAUGGACUUACUAAUUGGGGUUUUGGUAAGAUUGGAAGCGUAAUCUUCUACAAACUUAUCAGGAGACUCCAUCUUUGGAUCAAGCACUGGAACUCUUACAUGGUUAUCCAAGUUCACCUCUGUUCUGACCCAUCUCAUCUCCCCAUCCUUUUCCACAACAUGCAAACUAGAGAAACGAGGAUGCUUAAGUAAAGAAUGGCGCAAGCUGAAUUUAAAAGAAAGAGGGUUGAUUGGGGUCUUAAACCCCAUCAUGAUGAUGAUGUAGACGUUGUGAGGUUGAUGAAAUACGCGAGCUACUGGACUCAAGGGUUGGCUGUCCUCGCUAUCGUCCUUUGAUACUCGUAUUGCUCUGAGACGUUCCAUAGGCUUCUUCAUCAGGAGGAUAGAAUUGUGUUUGGAUACUUGCAAUUAAAAAAUUUGUUUAUAUAUAGAAUACGACUUGUGUAAGGUGCUCACUGAACAAGGAACAAUUAUAUAUAUGGUGAGAUUUGGCAUAGCAGUUCUAAUGUAAUCGCGCCCGCGCGCGCGCACACACACACAC
rnacentral:misc_RNA from 1 species